AGAGUUUGAUCCUGGCUCAGAACGAACGCUGGCGGCAUGCCUAACACAUGCAAGUCGAACGAGACCUUCGGGUCUAGUGGCGCACGGGUGCGUAACGCGUAGGAAUCUGCCCUUGGGUUCGGAAUAACAGUUGGAAACGACUGCUAAUACCGGAUGAUGACGUAAGUCCAAAGAUUUAUCGCCCAAGGAUGAGCCCGCGUAGGAUUAGCUAGUUGGUGGGGUAAAAGCCUACCAAGGCGACGAUCUUUAGCUGGUCUGAGAGGAUGAUCAGCCACACUGGGACUGAGACACGGCCCAGACUCCUACGGGAGGCAGCAGUGGGGAAUAUUGGACAAUGGGCGAAAGCCUGAUCCAGCAAUGCCGCGUGAGUGAUGAAGGCCCUAGGGUUGUAAAGCUCUUUUACCCGGGAUGAUAAUGACAGUACCGGGAGAAUAAGCCCCGGCUAACUCCGUG
rnacentral:rRNA from 1 species